rnacentral:RNase_P_RNA from 1 species
GAAGCACGCCAGACCGCCGCUGGUGCAAUUUCCGAAAGGAAGCACUGGAGGAACGUCCGGACUGCACAGGACAGCGUAGGAGGUAAUACCUCUCCACCGUGAGGUGAGGAUCAGAGCAACAGAGACGAGUCAGCCCGGGGCAACCCGGGUCGGGUGAAACGGGCAAUCUCUACGCGCAGCAAUACCAAAUAGGCCAACACUGAGUGGCGCGGUACGCCGCGAUUCUUCGACCUGCGGUUCGCAGGGGUUGGCGGGUAGGUAGCACCGAGCCGGGUGGGCGACCCCCGGCCCAGAUUAAUGGCGGUCACACUGGUGCGUUGCAAAACGCCUCAGCGCACAAAAUCCGGCUUAUCGGCGAGCUUCACAC